AUGAGCAAGAGACAAAGCGACAAAGGGCCAAGUCAAGGAACAUCCCCGGGUAGGAUGAAUCAUAAAAGCCACGGAAAGUCACUUUCUUUUCGUGGCUCCAGGCUGCCGCCUCUGCAAAGGGAGACCGACGUGGAAGGGGCAAGGAGCUGGCACCACAGACAACAGGUCUUCCAAGCAAGAAUCGGGGAUCCUCCCUACUCCUUGCCUCGUGUUUGCUCUCCAGGUCUGAGACACCCCUACCCCCCAGCACUGCUGCCUCACCCCAGUGCCAGCCGUGGCUGCACAUGGGCUUGUCUAAACAAAUUGGUCAUUACCACCCUGAGGAAGCCCGAUGAACCUGCUGCAGCAGGAGCUGGACUUCUGCAAGAAGUCCCUUUGGUGGAUCUACUCAUUGAGGGGCAUCUCGAACACCCUGACGGGACAGGGCUCCUGGAGAAGACGAAUACCUGCCUCCCCGGCCACGGUGGAUGGACAUCACUCACCACCCUGAUCAUGGCUGAGACAGAGAACAGAGAUGACUCAAAAUACAAAUAACACUCAUUUGUCCCAUGGACCCAUUUAUCAACACGUUAAAACGCUGAAAUGCUCGAACUUGACUUUCAACCUUUCCCAGGAAUUUUCACAGAAAUCAGAAUACUCUAAAGCAUCCACACUCUGGGAUGGCAUGAGAAAUGAGCAAAGCUCUGAACUGAGUACUUAAGUGAUGAAGCACUUGACAAAAACAAGACAUGAAUUUGAACAGCAAUAACUUUGGGUUAUCACCAAUGUCAAGUUGAAUCUAUAUAUGUAUUCAUAUAUUAUAUAUAUCUCUUUCUUUAGAAAUGCAACUUUACAGCUGAUUUUUUAAAAAGCUAAUAGAAAAGUAGAAACUGACAAUCAUUUUUACAU
rnacentral:lncRNA from 1 species